rnacentral:tRNA from 1 species
UGGGACGAAGCCAAAGAUUGGCCUUCGGCUGUUAACCGGAUGUGUGCUACAGAGCCGUCCCAU